UACGUAGGGGGCAAGCGUUGUCCGGAAUUAUUGGGCGUAAAGCGCGCGCAGGCGGUCGACAUAGUCGGGUGGUUAAGCUCGGGGCUCAACCCCGAGUCACACCGGAAACUGGUGGACUUGAGUGCAGAAGAGGAGAGUGGAAUUCCACGUGUAGCAGUGAAAUGCGUAGAGAUGUGGAGGAACACCAGUGGCGAAGGCGACUUCCUGGCCUGUUCUUGACGCUGAGGCGCGAAAGCUAGGGUAGCAAACGGG
rnacentral:rRNA from 1 species